UGCAGAUGACCUCUAUUGAUUUUGAGGUCACUAGGUCAAAGGUCAAGGUCACGGUGACCCGAAAUAGUAAAAUGGUUUCCGGAUGAUAACUCAAGAACGCAUAUGCCUAGGAUCAUGAAACUUCAUGGGUAGAUUGAUCAUGACUCGCAGAUGACCCCUAUUGAUUUUGAGGUCACUAGGUCAAAUGUCAAGGUCACGGUGACCUGAAAUAGUUAAAUGGUUUCCGGAUGAUAACUCAAGAACGCCUACGCCUAGGAUCAUGAAACUUCGUAGGUAAAUUGAUCAUGACUCGCAGAUGACCCAUAUUGAUUUUCAGGUCACUAGGUCAAAGGUCAAGGUCACGGUGACCCGAAACAGUAAAAUUGUUUCCGGAUGAUAACUCAAGAACGCUUUUGCCUAGGAUCAUGACACUUCAAGGUACAUUGAUCAUGACUGGCAGAUGACCCCUAUUGAUUUUCAGGUCACUAGGUCAAAGGUCAAGGUCACAGUGACAAAAAGCGUAUUCACACAAUGGCUGCCACUACAACGGACAGCCCGUAUGGGGGGCAUGCAUGUUUUACAAACAGCCCUUGUUGAUUUU